GAGAAGGUUUGGAGACUUGGAGUGAUGGAUCAGUUGUAGGGGGAGCUCAUGUAAUGGAUAUUUGCAUUUAUGUUUGCAUGGACUUUGGUUUGUAAUAAAUUCACUUAGUACUAAAACUUAGGAGUAAUUCAUGUUGAACUAUGUUUAUGCGCUUUAUUUCCUAUUUUGUUUCUUGUUCUAGUGUUUGUGGAAAUGUGAGGUUAACCUUUUCAUGGAUUUCAAUUAUCAUAUAUACGGAUAUAUUUUCUCUUGUAGCCUUGGUUUCCAUUUUGUAGGGGAGUCUUCGCCAAAAUCUCUAUAUCCAUGCAUACGUGAAAUUAAUG
rnacentral:lncRNA from 1 species